rnacentral:lncRNA from 1 species
UUUGAUGGAGUAAUUUGCAGCAAAAGAUACAAGUAAGCGAAUAGAUUCUAACCUGGAGACUGGAGCAAAGGUUUCAUUGUAGUAAAUACCUUCUUGUUACCUGUAACCGUGUGCUACCAGUCGUGCUUUAUUUUUGACCACUUCACCUUUCUCAUUGAGUUUGUUUAUGUAUACCCAUUUGGUUCCAAUCACAUAAGUUCCCUUGGGUCUUGGUACAAGAUCCCAGACAUCAUUUUUUUGCAAAUUGAUCAAGUUCUUCCUUCAUUUCCAGAAUUCAUUCUUUGUCUUGAAGAGCCUUUUCACUGGAUGUUGGUUCUAUUAGAGAUACUAAACCCAGAGGUGUUUCCUCUAAGACCUUGAAUGUAGAUCUUAUUCUGAAAGGGUCAUCCUUGUUUCCCAUAAUCAACUCCUCAGAAACAUUUAGUCUAUUUCUUGAUCUUUUAUGUAUGAUUUAAGAUUCUAGGUGCUUCUGAUGUUUCCAUUUCUACUUCUUCAGAUUCUUUUGUCUUUUCGUCAGAACAUGCAAGUGUUAUCUCCAAAUCUGCAAAUUUCUCAACUAGCUUUGACUUUCCAGAGUCAAGCUUAUCAUCAAAUCUGACAUGUAUUGAUUCUUCCAUAAUUAAUGUUUUUGUAUUAUAUACUCUAUAGCCUUAAGAGCGUUAUGAGUAUCCUAACAUAAUACAUUUUUGUGCUUUAGAAUCAAACUUGUUCAGAUUAUCUUUAGUAUUUAGGAUAAAACAAGAACAUCCAAAAGGAUGAAAAUAGGAAAUGUAAGGUUUUCUUCCCUUACACAGUUCAUAAGGAGUCUUCUCCAAAAUACAUCUUAUAGAGAUUCUAUUCUGAAUAUAACAUGUUGUAUUCACUACUUCAACCCAGAAGUGCUUAGCCAUAUUUGUUUCAUUGAUCAUGGUUCUGGCCACUUCUUAGAGAGUCCCAUUCUUCCUUUCUACAACUCCAUUUUGUUGUGGAGUUCUAGGACAGGAUAAAUCAUGGGAUAUUCAAUUAGAACCAAAAAUUUCUUCAAAAAGUUUGUUUUCAAAUUCACCACCAUGAUCACUUCUGACUCUGAUGAUUUUAGAGUCAAAUUCAUUUUGCACUUUUGAGAAGAAACUAGUAAACACAAAGUAUUACUCAUUCUUGUGUCUUAGAAAUUUUACCCAUGUCCAGCGACUAUAAUCAUCAACAGUGACAAGUCCAUACUUCUUACCAUUGACUGAAGUUGUCUUAACAGGUCCAAACAAGUCAAUAUGAAGUAGUUCCAAAGGCUUAGAGGUAGAAACAACAUUUUUAUUUUUGAAAGUUGUUUUAGAAAACUUUCCUUUCUGACAUGUCACACAAAGAGCAUCUGAAGAAAACUUCAGCUUAGAUAGGCCUCUGACUAACUUAACUUUAUUUAGCUGAGAAAUCCUCCUCAUGCUAAUGUGACCCAAGCAUCUAUGCCACACCCAUUGCUCUUUAUUUACAAACAUUAAACAUUUUACAUUUUGAUCUUUUAGAUCUGAAAGAUUAAUUUUGUAAAUGUUGUUCUUCCUCUUACUAGUGAAAAGAACUAUCCCAUUGCUCUGAUUAAUGGCUUUGCACGUUUUUUGCUUGAAGAUUAUAUCAUAACCGUUGUCACUUGAUUGACUUAUGGAUAACAGGUUAUGCAUUAAUCCUUCUCCGUAAAGAACAUUAGAGAUAGAGGGAAGAGAUCCAUUACCAAUAUUUCCAGAUCCUCUGAUUCUUCCUUUUUGAUUUCCUCCAAAUCCUACGAAACCAACGUCUUUAAGUUCCAAGCUUUGGAACAUAUGCUUUCUUCCCAUCAUGUGUCGCAAGCCUCCAGAGUCCAGGUACCAUGAUUGGUGUCUUAACUCUACUGCAUAACAUAUAUACAACAUAUACUAUUUUAUCUUUUGGUACCCAGAAUCUUUUGGGUCCUUUAUGAUUAGUUCUCCCAGAGUUUCUAGAAACUUUGGGUUUUCUAGCAUUAUUAAAACUUUGUGUUUGUGCAUGUGUGUAAUGAUAAGAAAAAGGAGAUUUAGGUUUGUCAUCUGCAAAGGGUAUUUUCUCAUCUUCAUCAGAGUCAUAUCCAAUUCCUCUUUUCUUAUUGUGACUAACACCAUAAAUCAUAGAAGCCAUUUUACUUCUUUCAAGCCCACUUUCAGAAAUUUCUGAAAAGCUUUUUCAUAUUUAUAUAUGAUGGUAUCAGAAGUUUGUGGAGCUUUGGAAAGAGUUUCUUCAAGUUUUAAGCAUUUUUCGGUUGAAAAUUCAUUUUCCUUUUCUAAGACAAAAAUGUUUCCUUUAAGUUCAGAAACUUCUGUUUCAAGCUUAUCACAUUCUUCAACAGUUUCUUCAUGGACCCUUUUUAGGAUCUUAAAUUUCUGUCGAAGCUUUUGAUAGGAGCUUAGAGAUUCUGAUAAACAGGCUUCUAAAUUAUAGCGAGAGAGAUCAUAAAAUACCUCUUCAAAGUCAGUUUCCCUUUUGGAUGUACUUCCAAAUGUGGUAGCCAUGAAUGCAACAUUUGCCUGUUCCUUUCCAGAGUCUGAUUUUGAGGCGUCAGGUUCAGAGUCAUCCCAGGUAGCCAUGAUCCCCUUCUUGGUUUUGAAGGAGUUUUUCUUGAAUCUUUAUUUUCUGGAAGUAUCUUUCUUGAGCUUUGGACAUUCGUUUCUUUAAAGUCCUGGUUCUUUACAUUCAUAGCAGGUUACCUCUUUGUUCGGUUUGCUUCUGGAAGUUGAUUCGGAGCAAUCUCCCUUGUGUCUUGGUCUUCUGAAGUUGUUAUUCCUUUUUCUCCAGAGUUGUUUGACUCUUCUGGUUAAGAGGGAUAACUCUUCUUCAUCAUCAGAAUCAUCCUUUUCAGAGUCAUCAUUUUCUUCUUCUUCAACUUGGAGAGUUUUAUUCCUUUCUAGUUUGCGUCUCUCAGAUCUAGACUUCAGAGCCACAUAUUUGCUUUUCUUUUGGGGCUCAUCUUCCUCAAGUUCUAUCUCAUGACUCCUAGGGGAGCUGAAGAGUUCUUCCAGGCUUAUGUUGUUCAGAUCUUUUGAUAGUUUUAAGGCAGUGACCAUAAGUCUCCAUUUCUUUGACAAGCUUCUGACAAUCUAUUUGACAUGAUAUGCAACUAUGUAGCCCUUGUCCAGAACCUUGAGUCCUGCAAUUAAAGUUUGAAAUCUAGAAAACAUUACCUCUAUAACUUCAUCAUCCUCCAUCUUGAAGGCUUCAUAUUUUUGAAUUAGAGCCAAAACAUUUGUCUCUUUGACUUGAGAGUUGCCUUCGUGGGUCACCUUUAGGGAGUCAAGUAUUUCUUUAGCAGUUUCCCUGUUGGUGAUCUUUUUAUAUUCAUUGUAGGAUAUGGCAUUCGGUAGUAUUGUUCUUGCUUUGUGGUGAUUUUUGAAAUCACGCUUCUGAUCAUCAGUCAUUUUAUUUCUGGCAAUAGCAAUACCAGCAUCAGAUACCAGUGGUACAUAUCCAAUUGUAACUAUGUCCCAUAUGUCAUCGUCAUAACCCAGACAGAAACUUUCAAUUCUAUCUUCCCAAUAAUCAAACUUUUCUCCAUCAAACACUGGAGGUUUGACAUUGUAGCUGUCUCUUUCAUUUGUGUUGGCUAUAUUGUUUUUCUCACGCUGGAUCUCUCUACACUGUUAGUGUUUGAUUAGAAAAUCAAUAACAGAGUCGAAGCUCUAAUACCAAUUGAAGGUAGAGAAAAACAAUAAAGGGGAGGGGGGGGUUGAAUUGUUUUCACAGAUAAUAAAAACUUUGCAAAUAAGACACACACGAAAGAUAAAGCUAUCAACAUAGAAGUUUAUCUUGGUUCGCUUGAAAUUCAAAGCUACUCCAGUCCACCCGACCAAGGUGAUUUCGCCUUCAACAAGGACUUAAUCUAAUAAUCUUGAAAUAUUACAACAAUAGCGUCUAAGAGGAUAAAGAUCUCUCAUCCCUCUUAAGUUUACAGACUUCACAAGUCACUUGAGAAAAUAUUCAACAACUAUUUGAAAAUACAAUUAAGUGUUUAGUGCUUCUAGGUAAGCAAUAGUAACACAAUGUAAGAACUGAAAUGUUUCACACUUAGAGCAAUAACUUGUGUGAAUAGAUGUGAACAAGAAUGAAAAAGAAUAUGGAAUUGUUUGCAGUAUUCUUGUGUGUAUGCUUCGUUGCCUUGUAUGAUGAUGAUCUUGCCUUUAUAUAGUGAUUUAAGCUAAAGACUGUUAGCUCAGGCAUUUAAUGAAUAUCUUGGAAAUGAUGGACUUUAAUGGUAUUAAGUUCGUUGUCCUUUCCAUAGCAAUUUUGGAGAGUGUUUAAUCUUUUCCAAAUAAAGAUUCAUACCAAAAGUAGAAAACUUCGUAGCUAAGUCUUUGUGAUUGACCUUGAGUCAGAGUACGCGGAGUUCAGAUUUUCUUGUUCAGCGUGUGUACUUCAGAUAGUUGCUGAGAGGUGAGAGUAAAUUUUCUUAAGAAUUUCUUGAUAUGUUUUUCUGUAGAGCCUUCUUCAGAGUACAAGUCAUCAGACUUGCUGUGUGGAACUCUUUAGAUACAGAGUGUCUGAGUCUUCUACCGUCAGACUCUGUGAGCUUCCUUUUCUUCAGAGUCAGAGCGUGAUUCAAUUUAUUCCAAGUUGUCUAUUCUUGACUUGCAUGAUGUCAGAUGUUUGUCUAUCUGAUCCUUUUUCUCUUAGAGUCAUGCACACUUAGAUAAAUUUGUUAGGGUACCAAUUUGUUUCAUCCUUUAUUAUCAUCAAAACCUUAUAGAUGAAUUGUAAACACAAAAUCUUGUUCUAACAGCAGAGGCAUCUACUUUACAUGCUCGCAUGUGUUAGACUUCACAAGGUCGCAUGUCUCAAACUUUGACUUCUCGAGGGCAUGUGUCUCCUGCUGAACCUCCAGCUUAUGAAGUCCAACAAGAGGAACCUAAUGUUGUUGUUGAUCCCAUUCCCGAUAGUUUUCCAAUAGGCUCAUUUGACAUAUCCUUACUUCCUCUCUAUGCCAAACAUGUUGUUAGGAAUGUGAGGGAAUGAGAGCUAUAUUUUUUUUUACUUUUACGUUACACGUGUUUCAUACUAAUUGAGUUAUGACUGAUGUUGGUAUAUUUAUUUUUACAUGAGUGUGAAAUAGUAAAAAAUUUAAGUCAUUCCCGGAAGAUUUUGAACUAGGAACAAAAUGCAUACACGUGGUUUAAAUAUUGUGUUCUUUAUUCUGGAAUUACAAGUGUAUGCUUCAUUAGACAUGACCAUUAACCAUGGCAUGUUGGCGGAUUUUGUGGAAAGAUGGCACAGGGAGACUUCAUCUUUCCACAUCCCUCACGGUGGGAGGUGUAUCACCCUUGAUGAUGUAUGAUGCCUUAUGCCUCUUCCGACUAGGGGAAGAAUACUAAAAGAUUCCCAUAAUGGCAAAUUCAAGGCAUUUGAAUUGAUGGUAAAUUAUUUGGGAGUUGGCCCAAGUGAAGCCCAAGAGGAGCUUGAUGCCAAGAGAGGCGCCCAUGCCCGAUUUUCAUACCUGGAUGACCUAUACAAAUACCACCUGGUUGCGAUAGUGGAGGACAAAGAUGAUGAAGGGUAAGGUUUGUUCUACAGACAAUGUGCAUUGAGGUUAUACUUCUUAUACUUGGUUGGCACGACAAUAUUUGUGGACAAAAGUGCAACCUAGGUUGAUGUAGUCUACAUGACAUACUUGACCAAUUUAGAGAGGAUCCACGAGUACAACUAGGGGACCACAUGUUUGAUUUAUCUGUACUCCAAACUAAGUGAAGUUUGUCUUUGGAUAACAAAAUAGAUGACUAGAAGAUGCACAUUGUUUACAAUAACUUAUUUGCAACCUUUAUUGUUACUAAUAUUCUCACAAUGACAUUGUUACACUUUUUACUAAUAUUUUAUCUGAACAAUUUUUAAGCAUGGAUCAUCUCUCAUUUUCCUCGCAUAUCCAGAUGGGAACUUGAAACGGACUACACUAGGAAUUUGCCACGUGCUUGCGCCUUUGGCUCGUAAAAGGGGAAUCAGGCGAUAGAGUCGUACAAGGUGUUUAUUAACCGUAUUGUAGCAGAUAACAUAUGCUUCUGUCCAUGCGAAGGCCACCGUUAGACGCUUCCCUUAGACGACAUAUCUUACUACUCUUGAUGGUUGACUUAUGGGUCGCGUCUGAUGUAUCCACAUCUUCCUGAGCGGGUCAUGCAACGGUUUGGGUAUCUUCAGAUGGUUCCAAUACAUCUCAUUGUGUCUGCUCUUCCGACAUUCUGUCGCAGAGAUCUUGAUGUCACACUCGAUGAUUUAUAUAGUCAUCUGAUACCAGAUAAAGCACGCAAUGUGCCAGCGGGUGAACCAUGGGCUUAUGAAUAGGGUUACAUCUAAUUGUUCUAUCGAGUGUCACAUCCUCACAUGACAUCAGAUAUCGCAGGAGCACCACCUAGACCCGCUCAUUAGGAGAUAUUAGAAAAGUGUUGGGUUAUGGAUGACCAUACAUCGGUCUUAUUUCCAAUAUGUCAGCGUAAUGUGCAGGUUGCGAGAGAUGCCAUUGAGAGAGGAUACAUUAGAGGAGGAGAUCAUGGUAUGACCUCCUUAUAGAUCAUCUUACUCGAGGCACAAAAUGCCUUGGGGUACAGGCGACGACAGAGGAGAAGCAGGAGGGUUAGAAAUACGCAAUAGUUUAUUUUUAUUUGUAUUUUGAUAACAAUUGUAUUUUAUGAACAAAUUAUGUAUCGUGGUAACGUUUUCGACUACUUGAUUAAUAUUUGGAUUUGAAUUUAUAUAUGAUAUGUUUGAAUUACAUUAGUAUUCUUAGCAUGAUGUUAAUAUAUCCUUAUGUAAAUGGCCUAAAAAAUAUCAAUUUAGAACAGUUGCUACUAAGGAAAAAUCUUUCAAAUGCUUUCAAGGGUUAUUCCGGAGAUACAUCUACGUAAUCAUUCCUAAAAAUUUACGGAGAUGCAUCUCCGAUCCAUAUUUUUAACGAAUUUGGGGUUGAUGUCUCACUUACAGAGCAUUGUGUGCAUUUUAGAUUCAUCCGGAGAUGUAUCUCCAAAAUAUAACAAUUUUCAAUUUUCAAUUUAUUUACCCUCAUCCCAUAGGAUGGAUAAAGUAAUACAUUAUAUUAUUGGUACGUCUCAAACUAAAUUGGUAUAACGGUUUGGAUAACGGUUUGGUUCACCUGUUUAUGUUUCAAAUCGAACCAAAAACUUAUUAAGAACUCAAUUGUAACAAAUCGUUCAUGAUUUAAACCGAGCUGGUUAAGUUCUUUUAGUAAAUUGUGUUAAAGUCUAGAUUUUUAAUAUCCAAGAUCGAGAUCCAUAUAUAAGGAUAAGAAGGAAAAAAAAGAUUAUUAUGUACUCCUUAUAUUCCAAAAUAAGUGUUAUAUUUGACAUUUUCACAUAUUUUAAAAAAAGUGACAAAUAAAAGAAAGAGAAUAAUUUUUUUACCAAAUUAUCCUCGUUGGUUAUUGAUGUAUUCAAAAUUAUCAUUAAUAUAAGAUGAGAAAAAUAAUAAAUUAGAAGUAUUAAUUAGAGGAUACAAUUGAUAUAUCUAGAUAAAAUUGCAUUGAAAACUAAAAACAGACACUUAUUUUGAGAUAAUGUCUUUUUUACACAUGUAACAUUUAUUUUGGGAUGGAGGGAAAAAUAAAAUAUACCAGAUAUUUGGUAAAUUGAUAGUAGAUUAGGAUGCUUAACAGAUAGUUGGUUAUGCCUUAGAAAUAUAAAUUGAGAGGUGAGUGAAUUGUAGCUAGUGGGUAUGCAAGAAUAUUGAGAGAUCUAUUAUGGUUAGACAGAGUUUUCUCCACCCCAGAAGCUUGGCUCUGGAGUAGUUUGGAAUUCAUUCCCAUCUACAAUUUUAUUUUCUUCAUCAAUCAAAUACAUAUAUUUUCCAUUGUUUUUCCUCUUGCUUACUUAACUUCAGAUUUUGAAUUCCAGAUUCCCAUCAAAUAAUGUAUAAGCUUAUGUACUGCUGGUAAUGUAGCAUUUCCCUUCUCAUUCUUUUCUCAAGGACAUUAGUUGUAGCCAAUAACAGAAACUGCGGUGCAACUUUGUCCCGGCACAGAAGAGCUAUAGAAAUGUCCAAAGAUCAUAUGCCAAACUGCAUCAAAGAACCCUUGUCCCGUCACAGAAGAGCUUUUGAAAUGCUCGAAGGUCAUGGCCAAACUGCAUCAAAGAAAGGGCGUAGAUCGAGUCCUUAAGCAGAUAUGUCGAUGAUGGCUACUUGAAUGGGCAGUUAUAAAUGUCACUCGUGCUCUAGGUGUCAGGCACCUUAAGGAAUGAAAUAAAUAAGUGAAUGAGGGGACGUGAUGAAAUAUAGAAUGUUAUUUUGCACAAAGACGACUUCAAGAACAUAUGAGGAGCAACUAUGCAGCAAGGAAUUUGUUCAUGAAACAAUCAAGAUCAACAGACAACUUGACAGUUGUGAUACUGUGUUUUAACUCUGGCUGUCGAAAGAAUGCGAGUAAAUACAAGCAAGGACUUCAGAAUCUCAAAUGCCUGCUAAAGGGAUAUAAAACAUUUGCAUGCAAAACAAACAAUAUAACUUAUAUUUUGGACUGCAAAUGCAAUUAGUGCAGGAUAUAUUUCAUGCCCAUAGAGGAGAAAAAGAACUCAUGUGCCAAAAGUCUAUUGAAAUUUAUAUCAAAACAAAAUUAUUUUCCCCCAUUGUAAUUGGGAAAGUGGGAGUGUAACAGAUUGGAGCGUUGAGUGAAGAGCAUAAUCAUCAAAUAUGCAACCUUUUUCAAUCUUCUACUCGUGCAAAUUUUCUAACAUAUUCUUACUUGUUCUGGCUGAAGACUACAUCCAGAAACCAAUUAUCAAGUUCUCCAUUGUGAUAAAACUCUAUAUGGACUAGAGAAGGCAUAAGAAACAACUUGUCAUUACACAAACCAGCUCGGUUUGACAAAAACAGGUGGUGUGGUUCCAUAAAUGUCACCAACCCAUGAAUCAUCUAAUGUGAAAAUCAUAGAAACAAUUGUGAAUUAUCAAUAAAAAAGAAAGCAACAAGACGACUGCAUGAACAGUAAGUGUUGAAUUGUCUCACCUAGACAUUCUUCUACUUCUGAGUUUACCAUCAGCGAAUAAAGAUUGAAAAAAUUAUACAAAGUUACAAACAUUAAUGAAGCAUUCCAAAAAUAUUAUUUUUCUUUAAUAGCUAAUAGUUAUAUACUGUGAAAAAUGUGUGUAAUGUAUUAUCAAUAAAGGACCUAUACUAAAAUAGAAUCCGUAUUUCUGAAAUAUUUAAAAUCACUUUCCUGAAAGUUUCUCUUGUAUCUCAGUUCUUGCAACUCGAAUCAAGAAUAAACCAGCAAAGAAAAUAGAUAAAACGAGCAUAAAAAAUACACUGUUCCAUCCCCUAGUUGAAACAUAACCUGCUAGAAGUGGUCCAAGAGCAGCUCCAACAGAACCAGUACCAUCAAUGAUUGCAGUAACAGUAGCCAGUGCCCGAGAACUCCCACCACUAAAGCCCUGAGUACCGAGAUCGGCAGCCACAGCAGUUGUGAUUAGCGAGUAUGGACCAUUCACCAAAAAUCCAGAAAGAAACAUCAAAGCAAUGUUCGUAAACAUAGAGAUGCUCCCAAAAAAACGAUACAAAAGAAGGGCUGGAAUUGAUAGAAACAAGAACAUAAUUGAAGUAACAGCACGCGCUUCAAUCAUAUCAGAAAUGAAACCGGCUGUUAUUCCUCCUAGGACUCCUCCAAUGUCAAAUACUGUUGAAAGUAACCCAGCAGUUUUGUGAGAUAGAUUAACACCAGCAACCGCUGCAACGAAUACCAAAUAACGAAGUCAUGAAAGAACAUUAUGAUUCAUGAACAAAAAUAAUGUACUAGUACAUGAAUUAACAUAAAUUGUAAUUAAUUUACUCAAAAUUGCAAAAUUAUUUUCCUGGAUAUUAUUAAAACAAAUUAAUAACUCUAUCCCAUAUCAUAUAUUUUUACAUCAAAGAACAAUUACCUGUGUGCCUGAUGUAGAAGGGUAACCAAUACAAGAAAGUGUAAGCAACAAAUUUUGAGAAAAAGAGACAAAAUGCAAACGGAGCGACUCCAGGUAUCUUCCACGCCUCUAAAAAUCCAAUAGCAGACGAAGAAUCUGUAACUAAAUUAUCCGGAUCAAUAAGCUUCGCUUCCUCUGAAUCAACUUUUGGCGGAUCCUCCGCACCGUCUAUCUCAACAGUCAUUUCAACGUCCAUACCAGGAUGCGCGAACCCUAUAUCCUUUGGAUUCACAACAAGAAACAAAAACACCAAAACCCCAACCAAAAUGAUAACAAAUCCAGGCACCACAAAUGACCAACCCCAUCCGAAUUCCAAGACUCCCGAAGCAAUAACCGAACCAAUUAUAUUCCCCACCGAGGUAUGCGAAUUCCAUACCCCCAUUAUCAAUCCCCUCUUUGAUUCCCCAACCCAAUUCCCCACAACUGCAACAACACAAGGCCACCCAAUCGACUGAAACACUCCACAAAAAAUCUGAACACCGACGAAAAAUCCCAACACAUGAACAUCUAACCAGUAUCCUAACCCAAAAAGUAUAGUAAAAACCCCACUACCCAUCAUCCCAAACACAAGAAACAACCUCAAAUCAAUCCUAUCUCCAACAUGCCCUGCCAAAUACAUGCCAAUAGAGUAAGCGGUGAGGAAGGCGAGAUCAACCUCGCCGAGCCGGUGAGUUCCCUGAGUUCCAUUAAAAGGAGGCCAACCUAAAUCAACCGUGGAAUUCAAAACUUGAAGUUGAGUUAAAUUGGUUGGAGCUGUGGGUCCCAAAACACUCUUAACAAUACUGGGAGGCUUCCUAGAUGCAUGAAAUGAAGCAUAUGCAAGAAAUGUGAUAAGAAGAACACAUAUUUGGUGGAAUAGUAGGGUUUUAUGAGGGGGUUUCAGAUUUGGAAAGAGAUUCAAAGCUGGAGCUAGGCUCAAACUCUUGGAAUUUGAUUGCAUGAUUACUCAUCAGGAUUCAAGUAUGCGCAUUGAAUCGUAUAAUCUAACCUAAUCUAGCACAGUGGACAAAUAUCAAUUUUUUCUGUACCUUCAGAAAUUCUUAUUAUAUCAAAAACUAUGAUCUGAAGAAUGUCAAAGAUGGAUACAAAAUUGAAAUUAAACUGACUUACAAGAUUAUAAGUAAUAAAGAAGAAGCUUCUGUUCUGCAUAUGAAAAACAAAAAGGGGUUUUGGUUUGCAGUGGCAGAAUGGUGAGAGAAACCGGUGAGAGAAAGAGAGGAUUGAGAGUAAAAAUUAAAACGGGUUUGCCUCAGAAACCGGUUUGUGUCCGGAUCGGGCUCGGCGAUUUCUAGAAAACGCAAAUUAAUUCCAAUUUUAUCAUCCAAGUAUGGUCAGCGCGUGAGAUUUUGGACUCUACUUUUUCUUUGAAUAAUUUUCAUUUCUAGCUGGCUACUGUGGCAGUGAGUUUAUGAUUUUAAAGGUCAUUUUUAAAUUAGAACAUAUUUAACCUCAGAAAUUGACAUGAUUAAGAUAUGACAUUUAAGAAUGUGCUAUUUUAAAAUUUUAAAUUCGACCCAUAUCAGGUUUUCAAAACAAAAAAUUGAAACAUUUGAUUUUAUUUAGAUUUCGUAAAAUAAAUUUGAUUUCUUGUUAUUUAAGGGUCAUUUUAAAAUUAAAACAUAUUUAAUUUUGUUAAGUCAGUUGAAUGUGUACAUAUGCAAGUAUUGAUUUCUUGUUAUUUAAAUUAUUUGAAUUGUCAACACAUAUGUGUUGAAUUGUCAAAAUAUUUGAUUUCUUGAAGGACCCUUGAAUUGUCAAAAUUAUUUUAAAAUUAAAACAUAUUCUUUGAAGGAUCACUUUAGUUUACCAUAUUUUGACAAUUCAAAUAAUUUUGUCAAAGGCGGCUAUUUUAACACUACAAUUCUAACACAGUAGCCUUACACCCUUUAAAAUACAAUUUAAGUCUAAAAUUUUUUUAUUAAACAUGAUAGAAAAACAAAAAUCGUAUACGGUGUAGAUGUAAAAAUUAAUUUAUCAAUAUAAUUUCUCAAAUAAUAAAUAUUGUAGUAAUAUUUUAAUUGAUUAUAUAUAUAUAUAUAUAUAUAUAUAUAUAAAAAUAUCAUAUUUAAAUAAUUAUAUUAGUGUUAUUGAUUUAAAACUUAUAUUAUAUGUUAUAGGAAAUUUUAUUCUAAUUUGUUUGUGUUGUCUAUUAUUUAUCAAACAAUGUAAAAAAAAGAGUUUUUCUGUUUAUCAAGAAUUUGUGCCGUGCAGUUUCUCUUUGUCCUAUACUCCAAUGCGAAUCAAACUACAACCUAAAUGAGAACUUUUCAGAUAAUCCUGUCAAAAAUUGAAAAUUAAUUUUAUCAUCAAAUUUAACACUUUUAGCUCCUCAUAAAUCAUUAUCUCAGUUGUAAUCCAUCCAUUAAGAAAACUUUAGUCAAGGUAAAAAAAAUGAUUCCAAUCCAUCAAACCAAGUCUCCUAGUACAAAUUUAGACAAGUAAGGAAAAGUAAAAAUCUAGAGUGAAAGAAUGGUAGUUCUACAACAUGGACAGUGUGAAUUAUUUUCCAACCAAGGUUUCAAGCAUGUAGAAUGAAACUUGUGAGCACAAGGUAGAGGAAUCAAUUUCUCUCCAAUCUUAAAUGAUUCCAAACACACAGCACAAUCUUCUUGUUCUGAUGCUUUCCAGCUCAAUUUGCUCCAACUGAACUUCCUUGGACCACUUUUCUUUGAACCAUACACCUC